CAGCAGCCGCGGUAAUACAGAGGGUGCGAGCGUUAAUCGGAUUUACUGGGCGUAAAGCGUGCGUAGGCGGCUUUUUAAGUCGGAUGUGAAAUCCCUGAGCUUAACUUAGGAAUUGCAUUCGAUACUGGGAAGCUAGAGUAUGGGAGAGGAUGGUAGAAUUCCAGGUGUAGCGGUGAAAUGCGUAGAGAUCUGGAGGAAUACCGAUGGCGAAGGCAGCCAUCUGGCCUAAUACUGACGCUGAGGUACGAAAGCGUGGGGAGCAAACAGGAUUAGAUACCCCUGUAGUCCCUGUCUCUUAUAC
rnacentral:rRNA from 1 species